rnacentral:rRNA from 2 species
UGCGCGUGCCUAUACAUGCAGUCGAACGAACUCUGGUAUUGAUUGGUGCUUGCAUCAUGAUUUACAUUUGAGUGAGUGGCGAACUGGUGAGUAACACGUGGGAAACCUGCCCAGAAGCGGGGGAUAACACCUGGAAACAGAUGCUAAUACCGCAUAACAACUUGGACCGCAUGGUCCGAGUUUGAAAGAUGGCUUCGGCUAUCACUUUUGGAUGGUCCCGCGGCGUAUUAGCUAGAUGGUGGGGUAACGGCUCACCAUGGCAAUGAUACGUAGCCGACCUGAGAGGGUAAUCGGCCACAUUGGGACUGAGACACGGCCCAAACUCCUACGGGAGGCAGCAGUAGGGAAUCUUCCACAAUGGACGAAAGUCUGAUGGAGCAACGCCGCGUGAGUGAAGAAGGGUUUCGGCUCGUAAAACUCUGUUGUUAAAGAAGAACAUAUCUGAGAGUAACUGUUCAGGUAUUGACGGUAUUUAACCAGAAAGCCACGGCUAACUACGUGCCAGCAGCCGCGGUAAUACGUAGGUGGCAAGCGUUGUCCGGAUUUAUUGGGCGUAAAGCGAGCGCAGGCGGUUUUUUAAGUCUGAUGUGAAAGCCUUCGGCUCAACCGAAGAAGUGCAUCGGAAACUGGGAAACUUGAGUGCAGAAGAGGACAGUGGAACUCCAUGUGUAGCGGUGAAAUGCGUAGAUAUAUGGAAGAACACCAGUGGCGAAGGCGGCUGUCUGGUCUGUAACUGACGCUGAGGCUCGAAAGUAUGGGUAGCAAACAGGAUUAGAUACCCUGGUAGUCCAUACCGUAAACGAUGAAUGCUAAGUGUUGGAGGGUUUCCGCCCUUCAGUGCUGCAGCUAACGCAUUAAGCAUUCCGCCUGGGGAGUACGGCCGCAAGGCUGAAACUCAAAGGAAUUGACGGGGGCCCGCACAAGCGGUGGAGCAUGUGGUUUAAUUCGAAGCUACGCGAAGAACCUUACCAGGUCUUGACAUACUAUGCAAAUCUAAGAGAUUAGACGUUCCCUUCGGGGACAUGGAUACAGGUGGUGCAUGGUUGUCGUCAGCUCGUGUCGUGAGAUGUUGGGGUUAAGUCCCGCAACGAGCGCAACCCUUAUUAUCAGUUGCCAGCAUUAAGUUGGGCACUCUGGUGGAGACUGCCGGUGACAACCGGAGGAAGAGGUGGGGGAAGAAAGCCAAAAUAUCAUUGGCCCCUUAUGACCUGGGGUACAACCGGGUUCCAAAGGGAUGGU